UUUAUCGGAGAGUUUGAUCCUGGCUCAGGACGAACGCUGGCGGCGUGCCUAAUACAUGCAAGUCGAGCGGACAGAUGGGAGCUUGCUCCCUGAUGUU
rnacentral:rRNA from 2 species